UCCCUGCUGUGCCCUAUCUGGGUUAACACCAUCUUAAGUGCUGGUCUUUUAUGAGGAGGACACCAUCACCAUCACAGGGAUUGUGCACCUAUCAGGGGAUAAACCCCACUCAGCCCACCUCCCAGCGUCUAACCCUGCGAUGUCUUCGCUGAUGGGGAAUUAGGCCUGGUGAGCCUCCCAUGAUGCUGAACUCCAGGUUUCAGGCUGUGGUUUUGCCAUUUACUCUGGAUUCCAGGAAGAAAGGCUGAAGAAAGGGGAAUUGUACAAUACCUGGCCAUCAUCUAUGAAAGGAAGGCAGGAACUGCACGUACAUAAGGAGCAAUGACUGUAACUUUCUGAGAUUCAGGAACCUUUGGGAUGUCCUUACACUGAGUAUUCUGACAGCCCACUUGCAUUUCUUCAGAGCAGUGUAACCCAUAAAGUAAGAAAAAGUCCAUGUGCUGGUGUGGUUUCUUUGGUUUGAUAGGUUUUGUUUUUGGAGGGGGAGAAGAUGGCAAAAAAGAGGGGUCUCUACAGCCCAUCUUGGUUACAGUUUGUCCCCGGCCCUGGCUGGUUGUGUGGGUGGCAGCCACUCGAUGUGUCCCUUUCACAUCGAUGUUUCUCUCUCUCUCCCUCCCAC